rnacentral:rRNA from 1 species
GAAAAAGUGCGUGAGACAAACAGAACGACCCGCGAACACGUAAAAACAACCCAGUGUUGAGUGGGUUAAGCAAUUGUUUCCCCAACUAGAGGCUUCGUCGAUGUGCAUUUACUUGUGUUCAUUCUUUGACCUGGUGAAUGUUUCAUUGACGCAAUAACAACCCCCGGCACAAUGUGUGCCAAGGAAAACUAAACUUGACCCCGCUUGUUUCAUGUUGCCCCGUUCGCGGUGUGCUCAUGGGAUGUGGCUUCUUUUUAAUUACAAACGACUCUCGGCAACGGAUAUCUCGGCUCACGCAUCGAUGAAGAACGUAGCAAAAUGCGAUACUUGGUGUGAAUUGCAGAAUCCCGUGAACCAUCGAGUUUUUGAACGCAAGUUGCGCCCGAAGCCUUUUGGCCGAGGGCACGUCUGCCUGGGCGUCACGCAUCGCGUCACCCCCAACAAAUCUCUGUUGGGGGCGGAUAUUGGUCUCCCGUGCUCACGGUGUGGUUGACCAAAAUAUGAGUCCCUUCGAUGGACACACGAACUAGUGGUGGUCGUAAAAACCCUCGUUCUUUGUUCUGGGUUAGUCGCAAGGAAAAACCCAUCAAAUACCCCAAUGCGUUGUCUUAGGAUGACGCUUCGACCGCGAACCCCGGUCAGGCGGAACUACCCCGCUGAAGUUAAGCAUAUCAAAAAGCGGGAGGA